CAGCCUAUUUGACUUAAGGGGGAGGGGAACGAAUGUAGCUAAUUGGCAAAGAAGCUAGAUGGACUGAGCUGAUCCAGACUUGUUUAAUCAAUUUUGUUAAUUGGCUGCACUCCCGGCUCUGGAGAGAGUGAUCCUCGGGUGACUGAACUACCCUACCUUGAGAGUAGGGGUAGGCCUAAGCUCAAUGCCCUUACCCAACCACCAAGAGCAGCUAGAGUAAAGGCGUAAUUUGAACAUCCAAUAGACUUUACAAAGGCUUUUAGAUUAUCCUAGUAAAAGAACAUUAAGUCAUUUAGAAAUAAAGGCUCUCAAUCCCCCGGGGGAGUAAUAUCAUAUAGAAAGAAAAGAUAAAGAAAUCAGAGCCGAAGCGCUAACUCUGACAGACUGUCGAGUGAAAAGAGGGGAAAAGAAAGUCUUCAAUAGGUAAUGCUAGUGAUCAUUCUAAGAGGAAGUAGCUCAUACUACCGGGCAUUUACAUACGCCCAAUCAAGGGGCGGUUACGCCAACAAAGAUAGAGAGGGCUAUAGCUAACGAUGAAAAUAUAGGGGCUAACUUCAAUAAAUAUAGAUAUGAUUCACCACUAGCAAAUACAAGUGAGAAGAACUCUACACCCUCGGGGUAAAAGAUACCUUUUUCCUUGAGCACUUGAGCAAAAGACUUUCAUGACACGGCUAAGAAGGCAUAAGUGGCUAUCAAUGCUACUACUAGAAUCUAAUUAGCUUCGUUUCGAUGGACUCGUUGUGAAGCCCUUAUUGGCAGUUUCGAGAUCCUGUUGGGUUCACCCCCAUUAGUGUUGGUUGGUAUUUUUCUUGUU
rnacentral:lncRNA from 1 species